UCGUGCUAGACGGGGAGCUAGCGGUGCCCUGUAACCCGAAAUCCGCUUAUGCGGGGUUGAAAGUCUUUAUGAGGUCCUUGAUACGAGUUGAUCCUUUGCUGCUUUUGGAGAAGGGAUGGACCUCACGUAACAGGCGCUUACGAACCCCGUCAGAUCCGGGAGGAAGCAGCGGUAAGUGAGAGGGCCUGUGUCGUGACGUGAUCUAUCUUAUUCCUCCGGGCGGCAAUAUCUUCUCGGUUAUGGUUCGAAUAAGGAUGCACGA
rnacentral:SRP_RNA from 1 species